GUGAACCAGAAAUCCCAGACACUCAGGUUGUCAAUGGCCAUUUCACUAUGGAGUUCUAGCUUCUCCAUUACUCUCUUGCUAUGACUCCAAUCAUCCGCAAAGUUCAGUCACUUUCCGUUAAUCCUUGCCCCAUUCCUUAGCUGUUUCUUUUCUUUUUGUGAGAAAAUGGCGUGUGCAAGUCUGAGUUAGUAUACGAGAGGUUUGAAAGACGGUAUGUAUCAGAAGCAAGUGAGCGGAUACAGACAUCACCGAGGAAUUUUUUGUUCUACAUAUAUUCACAGUUCAAAACGAGAUAACUGCCCAGGAACCCAAGUUGACACAGGAAUAUACCUCUACAAACGCAGACCGUCUC
rnacentral:sRNA from 1 species